rnacentral:rRNA from 1 species
GACGACGCUGGCGGCGUGGAUUAGGCAUGCAAGUCGAACGGUAUCAUCCUUUCGGGGGUGAGAGAGUGGCGAACUGGUGAGUAACACGUAGGUUAUCUACCCUCAAGACGGGACAACCCAGGGAAACUUGGGCUAAUACCGGAUGUGAGCAACUUUUAGUUGUUUGAAAGGUGGCGUAAGCUGUCGCUUGGGGAUGAGCCUGCGUCCUAUUAGUUAGUUGGUGAGGUAACGGCUCACCUAGGCAAUGAUAGGUAGGCGGCCUUAACGGGUGGUCGCCCACACUGGGAUUGAGAUACGGCCCAGACUCCUACGGGAGGCAGCAGUCGAGAAUAGUCUACAAUGGUCGGAAGACUGAUAGUGCGACGCCGCGUGAACGAUGAAUCCCUUCGGGGUGUAAAGUUCUUUUAUAUGUGAGCAGUGCUUCUUAUAUUAAGAGUAUGGGGAGAGAGAUAUUAGCAUAUGAAUAAGCAACGGCUAACUCCGUG